rnacentral:misc_RNA from 1 species
UUUGUUUAUGCAUGAAGUGAUGGAGAAAAUUGUUCAGCUGAUAAUUUCCUUUUUUUAGCAAAAGAAAAUGAUAUUAUUCUUUUUAUAUCGUAUAUAACAAAAUCCGAUGAAUUCUGUUCCCUGACAUAGGUUCAUAUUUAAUGCAAUCGGAAGAAAUAUAAUUACUUGAAUUAAAAAUGAGCUUUUAAGAUGAAACGCCGAUUUCUAAUUUUUUAAAAGCGUAACAUUUAAAUAGCCUUAUCUUGGUUUUUAUUUAGUGUUAUGAUUUCUGUAGGAAUCUAAGUAUGUUCUCGAAGUUCCUGUUUAUCCUUCCUUCCCGCAAAUUUAGUCAUAUAUGUCAUAUUGUGCUGCUUUUUGUAAUAAUCUUCCUAUUGUAUGUCAUUACUAGCUUGUAUUCAGUGAAUAAUGAUAAAUUACCAUUCUUUCAAGAAAUGCUGAAUGAAACAGUGUUUACCGAAACUGCAUUCAUGGUCAACACUGAAACUCCAAAUGAAGAUACAUCGAAGCACACAAGUCCAGUGUAUAAAAGACCAGUACUAGUUAAUGAAACAGUUUCUACUCUUCAUAUGAUACAUAUUGGAGAAAUUGUACCCAACUGCGGGCUGCCUACUGCAUGUAGUUCUGGAACAUUUGCAGUUCACAUAUAUACUGGUAAAGAUCAUAGAGAUGAACCAAGGCUUUGUGUUGAUGGAAAAUACAUUUUAUCCAAAGAUAUCAAUAAUGGUGGUAGAGGGGUAAAUGCUGUUGUUAUUGAUAACAUGACGAGAACAGUCAUUCGUGUGAAUCACUUUGAUACAUAUGAAAAAGAAUCUACACCCUUAGAAACAAUGUUGCUGACUUUGAGGCCUGGAGACAUUGUAAUCCUAUUGACAUUUGAUGAGCCAUCUCGAAGACUGUCUCGUAUAGCCAGAUUAUUACUACAUGAUUUGGGUAGUGCUCUGAUUCAGAACCUGAGUUACAGAGGAAGUUGGUACUUGAUAACACAGAAAGGUCUUUCUGGCUUCUCACCUUUUGAAGAUUUACAUCUGGUAGAGAAUAGUGGAUGGCCUAAACAUCAUGAUGUUCGGUUUUGUGUUCCAUUUGAAAUCAAAGGAACUGUUAUUCAUCCUGAUCCCUUACCAUCCAACAAUCCUGCAAGAGUUGAAUUUUGUGAAAAGCAUGAUAAUUUUCCUAUAUUCUGUGAUGCUGAUGUAGUUGAUGAUCCUUUAGCUGCUUCUCCUGUGUGGAAACAACCAUCUGCAAUAAAUAAAAUUUAUAAUGUCCCUAUUAUAGUGAUGAGUGGUGACAAUAUACAGUUUUUGCCUUUAACUCUAGAAACUUUAGUGAGACAGCCUGGCAUAAAACCUUCCCUUGUUAUUGUAUAUCAUCUGUCUAAAAAUAUGAUGGUUCAAAACUUAUCCGAUUUAUUUGGAUAUAUGGCAGAAGAACUGUCACCAAUUUCCUACUGUGAACGUGUUGCUGAAGCUUUUGAAAUUACCAAUCUGCUUUUUCCAGAGGCUUCAGAGGUGAUAUUUAUUGGAGAAAAUGCAGUUUUGGCUCCAGAUUUCCUUUUUUACAUGGGGCAACUAUUAUCCAUACUUCAUAUGGAUCAAACAAUUUUAUCUGUAUCAGCACUGAAUGAAAAUGGUUUUAAAAGUGUGUCAGGUGAUCCAUCACUCUCAUAUCGGGCUGAAUCAUUCUCUAGUUUAGCUGUGCUGGUUCGAAAAAAUUUUUUCCAGCGUUCCUGGUGUAAGAAACAGUAUUUGAUUGAUCCUCUGUACAUUUCUUCAAAAAUAGUUGGAGACAGUUUGAUACCGGAUGUAUCCCGUGUUGCUUUAGCUGCUCCUAUGAAAAGCAAACAUGCAAAUCAAGAUGCAUCACAUAUUUUCAUGUCACAUGAUAGAACUAUUACGUAUGAACAAAAUAUUUUACUUAAGAAUCCAGAGAGAUUGUUUCUUGAAGAUUAUGAUCAUGACCUUGAAAUAUUGCUGGCAUCAUCUGUGCCUUUAGAAUUUGAUGCUUUGGUCCUAAAUCAGUGCAUGAAAGUAAAGGAACAUUUGCAUGAAAAACUUAUUGAAGAUUUGUCUCACUUUAUCAAUAAUACAUCAAACUUCUCAAAUAAAGUCUUGGCAGUUUUUUUCUAUCAAGCAUCUGCUGAUGAUGUAUCAACUAUUCAAAACAUAUGUCAGUGUUUUGAAUUAUUUUAUCACCCCUUGUACCCUAUGAGAGGAUUCUACAAAGGAGUCUUAAGGUUUAUGUUAAAGGAGAACCAAGCUUUGCUAGUCAGUUCUAGGUCUCCAUUUUUCCACUUCAGGCCAAAACAAGCUCCAGUGUUGCGAAUAGAUCAGCAUUUAGGAAGUUUCGUCAGCACAGUUCUGUAAAAUUCUUCCCACGUAGUUGCUAUUGUUUUGAUUCCGUGUUCAGUUUUAUAAAAGAAGAGAAACGGCUUCUUAAAUAAGUGAGACUCUUCAUGAAGGGAAUGCUUUCUUAUUUACAGACAUAACUUUAUAAAGUUCUUGAAGAUCUAAAGAAAAUCUUUAAUUUUUGCGCCUUUUUGUUAUGAUAGCAUAAGUCCUGUAUACCGAAUUUUACAUUAUGUGUGAUCUCAUCGUCAUAUUGCAAGGCAAUAUUUAUUAAUUUCUUGUGUAUUCUAGAGUUAUAUCGAAUCCUAGUCUGUUUAAAGUAAUUGAAAGAAUUACAUAUGUAUCGUUAUAGCAAGAAAAAAAUCAGAUUAUAUUGGAUAAAUUUAUCGAUUUCAUAGAAUGUAUAUUCUUGUUAUGCGGAUUUAUUACUUUUAUGUUAUGAAAUGUUGUGUUUUCAUAAUGGCAUGUGUAUAGCCGUAUUUUAAUAUUUAAUCAGAUUUGUUUUAAAAUUCGUUUCCGACGUUGUAAUGUUUAUCUUGUUUUCUGUAUGCUGUGUCUUUUGUUUUGUUCGUGUUUUGAUUAGUUCUGAUUUUUGCACAGGGUGUUCCUAAAGUUCCUGAAAUUACACUAUGGAUCAUAUUUGAAUGCAGUUAAACAAGAGACAUGUCAGCGAAUUAAUGCUAUUAUACGUGGACAAAUAUUGGUAUAUUAAUCGAAUCAGUUCAUGUCAUACUAAAAGAGUGUAUCAAAAAGUGCCCGAAAUAAUCCUAUUGACCCAAAAAAGUGUCUGAAUUCAAUUUGAGCAUUAUCUCUAACGAAAUAGAUACAUUGCGCAACAGUGCACUGAUUCCACGGCCUGGAAGUGACAUUUGCGUAAGAAUGUCCACCCUUUUGCAGUUCGGGCUGGAUCUUGUCAACAUGCAACUAUGAAAUUGUUAAGCAACAAGUUUAACUUAAGCAACAUAUUGAGCAACACUUAAGCAACAAAUUCAUUUUUCAACAUACAACUAAGAAAAUGUUAAUAUCUUGAAUAUGAAGGAUCGAUUGUGUGAAGGACAAAUAUUAACAUCUUGAAUAUGAAGGACCGAUUAAUUGCUGUUAAGUUUGUAAAAAUUGAUCUUGAAUAUGAAGGACCGAUUAAUUGCUGUUAAGUUUGUAAAAAUUGAUCUUGAAUAUGAAGGACCGAUUAAUUGCUGUUAGGUUUGUAAAAAUUGAUCUUGAAUAUGAAGGACCGAUUGUGUGAAGGACUAGUAUUAACAUCUUGAAUAUGAAGGACUGAUUAAUUGCUGUUCGGUUUGUAAAAAUUGAUCUUGAAUGUGAAGGACCGAUUGUGUGAAGGACAAGUAUUAACAUCUUGAAAUAUGAAAAACCGAUUGUGUCAAGGACAAGUAUUAACAUCUUGAAUAUGAAGGGUCGAUUAAUUGCUGUUAGCUUUCUAAAAAAUUUAUUUUGAAUAUGAAGGACCGAUUGUCCGCUACUCAUUCACGGAGAUCUUGGCAUGCUGCGAUGCGGUGUUCCUUCUGCUCAAACGUCAGCAGUCGGCUGACAAACUUGGCAGACAAUUAGCAUUGCACGUUUAGUUCCGAUAAGAUUGUCUGCACUGGCCCAUACGACACACAGACAAUGUUUGCAGUGUCGCUGAUCAUUCUCGGACGACUCGCAUGCGUAAGUUCAUCAUUGUCAAGGUUAAUGCUUGUUGAAGGUCUUCCAGGUCAGCCAAGGUUAAUGCUUGUUGAAGGUCCCGAGUUCGUUCAUCAUUGCCAAGGUUAAUGCUUGUUGAAGGUCCCGAGUUCGUUCAUCAUUGCCAAGGUUAAUGCUUGUUGAAGGUCUUCCAGGUCUGCCAAGGUUAAUGCUUGUUGAAGGUCCCGAGUUCGUUCAUCUUUGGCAAGGUUAAUGCUUGUUGAAGGUCCCGAGUUCGUUCAUCUUUGCCAAGGUUAAUGCUUGUUGAAGGUCUUCCAGGUCUGCCAAGGUUAAUGCUUGUUGAAGGUUCCGAGUUCGUUCAUCUUUCGCAAGAUUAAUGCUUGUUGAAGGUCCCGAGUUCGUUCAUCUUUGCCAAGGUUAAUGCUUGUUGAAGGUCUUCCAGGUCUGCCAAGGUUAAUGCUUGUUGAAGGUCCCGAGUUCGUUCAUCUUUGGCAAGGUUAAUGCUUGUUGAAGGUCCCGAGUUCGUUCAUCUUUGCCAAGGUUAAUGCUUGUUGAAGGUCUUCCAGGUCUGCCAAGGUUAAUGCUUGUUGAAGGUCUUCCAAGUCUGCCAAGGUUAAUGCUUGUUGAAGGUCCCGAGUUCGUUCAUCAUUGCCAAGGUUAAUGCUUGUUGAAAGUCUUCCAGGUCGUUAGCUGUCUUCAGGAGACAUUCUUUUGCCUUUGUUGGCGCCUGUGCCGCUCAAAACAUUAAAUACCAUUCAUCUCGACAUCUUAUAAGUUUGAUGAUGUUUGUUGAAGGCCUUUGUGGCUAAAUUGUCCAUUUUAACGCAAAGUUAUACCUUGGAUCACUGUUCCACCUUUUUGCCCUUCAUGUAAUCGAAGAAUACCCGACGCACGUUAUUACAAAAGCAUAAUUAUAGCAAUUGCCGAUGGUAGCCCAACGAUGUAUCUUCACGCAAUACCUUAUGAAGCCUGAAAGUCAGUAUUGCUGCAAGUGCAACUCUGCAGUACAGAGCACUACAGAGCUAGCUGUUGUUAGCACCCUACAGAGCUAGUCCGAAAACUUCUUGAUACAUCUUUUUGGAUAGCCUUAUUCUGCUGUUAGGUUAGUAAAAAUUUUUAGAGCGACUCAUGAUGGAAUCUGCUAAGUCUAAGAACCUUGACAUUCACUUACUUUUGAAUGAAAAGGAGAAGAUUUUCAAUGGUGGGUCUCCGAAAGGCUUUUUAAUCCGGAGAAAGAGGUUUCAGUGAGCGAAAAUAAAUUCUCGAUAAGCUGAUAAAUACACUCCUCAAAAGUGUUCAUGAAGUAGGCUUAAAAUUCGUUACUUUCUAGGAAUAAUAUGUGCGCCGACGUGGGACUACGCAUGACAACUAGGCUAAAAGAAUUUAAAGCUUAUUUCUGAGAAAUUUGGAAAUCCCCUUUGUACUUAAAUAGAUAAUAAUUUGUUUUCACGUCUAAUAUUCCACAUUAAUUAUACGGGUUAUUUUAUCAACAUCAUUCAGAUCAUGGCAAUAAAAUAAAAUGGCUUUAUUAAAAA